GGUUGGAUGGCCGAGUGUUUAUGGCGCAGGCUUGUCAGGUUCUGUGGGGAAUCCCGCUAUAACUACCCCGCACGGGCUCUGGUCAGAAGAUGCACAGCAGCGCCUGUUUCCUUCGGGAAGCGCCGUGUUCGAGUCCUGCUCCGACCA